rnacentral:rRNA from 1 species
AGUAGGGAAUAUUGGGCAAUGGACGCAAGUCUGACCCAGCCAUGCCGCGUGCAGGAUGAAGGCCUUCUGGGUUGUAAACUGCUUUUAUCUAGGAAGAAAAAACUCCUGCGGGAGGAACUGACGGUACUAGAUGAAUAAGCACCGGCUAACUCCGUGCCAGCAGCCGCGGUAAUACGGAGGGUGCAAGCGUUGUCCGGAUUUAUUGGGUUUAAAGGGUGCGUAGGCGGCCUUAUAAGUCAGUGGUGAAAGCCCAUCGCUCAACGAUGGAACUGCCAUUGAUACUGUAAGGCUUGAGUACAGACGAGGUAGGCGGAAUUGAUGGUGUAGCGGUGAAAUGCAUAGAUACCAUCAAGAACACCGAUUGCGUAGGCAGCUUACUAGGCUGUAACUGACGCUGAGGCACGAAAGCGUGGGGAGCGAA